UACGUAGGUGGCAAGCGUUGUCCGGAUUUAUUGGGCGUAAAGAGCGUGUAGGCGGCCAUACAGGUCCGUUGUGAAAACUGGAGGCUUAACCUCCAGACGUCGAUGGAAACCGUAUGGCUAGAGUCCGGAAGAGGAGAGUGGAAUUCCUGGUGUAGCGGUGAAAUGCGCAGAUAUCAGGAAGAACACCCGUGGCGAAGGCGGCUCUCUGGGCCGUUACUGACGCUGAGACGCGAAAGCGUGGGGAGCGAACAGG
rnacentral:rRNA from 1 species